rnacentral:rRNA from 1 species
AACGAACGCUGGCGGCAUGCCUAACACAUGCAAGUCGAACGCCAUGGUUUCAGCCAUGGAGUGGCGCACGGGUGAGUAACGCGUGGGAACCUGCCCAGCAGUAUGGGACAACCGCGGGAAACUGCGGCUAAUACCGUAUACGCCCGUCUUUGGGAGACCAGGGGCGGGGAAAGAUUGAUCGCUGUUGGAGGGGCCCGCGUCGGAUUAGGUAGUUGGUGGGGUAAAGGCCUACCAAGCCUGCGAUCCGUAGCUGGGCUGAGAGGAUGAUCAGCCACACUGGGACUGAGACACGGCCCAGACUCCUACGGGAGGCAGCAGUGGGGAAUAUUGGACAAUGGGCGCAAGCCUGAUCCAGCAAUGCCGCGUGAGUGAUGAAGGCCUUAGGGUUGUAAAGCUCUUUCACACGCGACGAUGAUGACGGUAGCGUGAGAAGAAGCCCCGGCUAACUCCGUGCCAGCAGCCGCCGUAACAC